rnacentral:lncRNA from 1 species
UCAGUUCUUCACGCCCUUUUAGAAUGCGAUUGUGCCAUCAAACAUGGAAAGGCAUCAUAGCCAGAGGGGUCUCAAUGGGGGAUAGGGUCCCAAAUGGGAAUAGCUUCUUCGACCUCAAGGGCCUUUCCGUGAGGGAAUAUCAGGAAGAUGAAACAAACUGUAGAGCUCAGCAUACGAAAUUAUUGAGAGAGAGAGAGAGAGAGAGAG